GGCCUCCAAACAGGAGCAAAUUAGCACCAGCGGCCACAGGGAAAUCACCAUUCAGCAAAAAAAUGUUGGCUAAACCCAACACUAGCCACAUCCAUUAUGUUUUACAUUACAUUACAUUUAUUUGGCAGACGCUUUUAUCCAAAGCUAAGUUUAUCCACACUGAGUUACUGAAAAAACAAAAUGUACUAUUCUUAAUUAGAUUGCAAGCUAGCGUGCUUCUCCGUGUUUGAUUCCACAUUUUAAUCACACAGGCUAGGUAAUGAUAUUAAGUCUGAAUAUCUGGAGUAUUUUUGACGCUUAAUUGCCUAGUAAAAGAAAAAGAUCCGGAAAAAGGGUGUGUGUCUUCUGAAAUGCCAGUUGCAGCUGCUUUUCUUUGUGCACGCCGCCAGCUCUGCUGCACAGUGACCAGGGAAGUCACAGUCGGGUAACAAGGCAGGAGGAUACCCCGUUAGCCCCACACUGCGUGAUGCUAUGGCCACCCUGCCCGUCAUGACCUGAUGCAGCAGACGCCUCUCUACGGACCAAACUACUCGGAACACCAGCUGGAUGCAAAACUUGGGACCCCUUCUGGUUUCUGUCUUGAAGCCAAUUGGACAGGCAGAGAUGGGGAGGAGCCGCUCAGACAGUGCCAAGGGGGUACCGCCACGCCGAGACUCCGCCCGAGCGCCCUUCCU